rnacentral:rRNA from 1 species
UACGUAGGGUGCGAGCGUUGUCCGGAAUUAUUGGGCGUAAAGAGCUCGUAGGCGGUCUGUCACGUCGGCUGUGAAAUCCCGAGGCUCAACCUCGGGUCUGCAGUCGAUACGGGCAAACUAGAGUAUUGCAGGGGAGACUGGAAUUCCUGGUGUAGCGGUGAAAUGCGCAGAUAUCAGGAGGGACACCGGUGGCGAAGGCGGGUCUCUGGGCCGUAACUGACGCUGAGGAGCGAAAGCAUGGGGAGCGAACAGG